rnacentral:rRNA from 1 species
UACGUAGUUAGCCGGGGCUUCUUACUCAGGUACCGUCAUUUUCUUCCCUGCUGAUAGAGCUUUACAUCACGAAUGACUUCUUCACUCACGCGGCGUUGCUGCAUCAGGGUUUCCCCCAUUGUGCAAUAUUCCCCACUGCUGCCUCCCGUAGGAGUUUGGGCCGUGUCUCAGUCCCAAUGUGGCCGUUCACCCUCUCAGGCCGGCUACUGAUCGUCGCCUUGGUGGGCUUCUACCCCGCCAACCAGCUAAUCAGACGCGGAUCCAUCUUACACCACCGGAGUUUUUCACACUGAGCCAUGCGGCUCUGUGCGCUUAUGCGGUAUUAGCACCUAUUUCUAAGUGUUAUCCCCCAGUGCAAGGCAGGUUAUCCACGCGUUACUCACCCGUCCGCCACUAAGUUACGAAUCACUAGGUUUCAUCGUAACUCCGUUCGACUUGCAUGUGUUAGGCACGCCGCCAGCGUUCAUCCUGAGCCAGGAUCAAACUCU